rnacentral:rRNA from 1 species
UACGUAGGGACCGAGCGUUGUCCGGAUUCAUUGGGCGUAAAGAGCUCGUAGGCGGCUGUUCAAGUCGAACGUGAAAACUCGGAGCUCAACUCCGAGCCUGCGUUCGAUACUGGACGGCUAGAGUCUGGUAGGGGGAUCUGGAAUUCCUGGUGUAGCGGUGGAAUGCGCAGAUAUCAGGAGGAACACCCGUGGCUAAGGCGGCUCUCUAGUACGGUACUGACGCUGAGACGCGAAAGCGUGGGGAGCGAACAGG